CCUGCAUUUCAGCCAAGUCUGGCCUCCCAUUGUAUUCAAUUGGACUUUCUGCCUUGAGCAAGAAAAAGGAAUUGUUUAUCAGAUUUGCCAAAGGAUCUCCAGGGAGGUGAAGAAAGACAGGAUACACAAACCUACAACAAGCAAGGGUUUUAAAUGCUUGUGUGCAGCCACAUCUGGAAUGUCAUAUGAUCUCUCUUCAACUGGAAUGACAGGAGCUGAAAGAAAUGUGCAACCAUGAGGACACUGUAACCUAUAAAUGAUGUGCUGUGACUGGAAACCCAAAAUAACGAGACCAUCGAGCUUCAGAUGAUCAUGCAACAAAAGUUCCAGCCAGUUCCAGGUGAAGACACCACCCCUGGCCAUUCAGAAGCUACCCUGCCUCCACUACACAGAGCAGGGUGAGAGUUCCAUGAACCCAAAUAGGUAGGGACUAUGCCCCAAGCCAGCAUGAAGCAGUUACAGAAGAAAGACCAUUGUCC